GCUAAACGCGAAGAACCUUACCUACCUUUGAAUCCACGGAACCUAGCAGAGAUGUUGGGUGCCUUCGGGAACCGUGAGACAGGUGCUGCAUGGCUGUCGUCAGCUCGUGUCGUGAGAUGUUGGGUUAAGUCCCGUAACGAGCGCAACCCUUGUCCUUAGUUGCCAUCAGGUUAUGCUGGGCACUUUAAGGAGACUGCCGGUGAUAAACCGGAGGAAGGUGGGAUGACGUCAAGUCCUCAUGGCCCUUACAGGUAGGGCUACACACGUGCUACAAUGGGCAGUACAGAGGGAAGCCAACCCGCGAGGGGGAGCGAAUCUCAUAAAGCUGUUCGUAGUCCGGAUUGGAGUCUGCAACUCGACUCCAUGAAGUUGGAAUCGCUAGUAAUCGCGGAUCAGAAUGCCGCGGUGAAUACGUUCCCGGGUCUUGUC
rnacentral:rRNA from 1 species